rnacentral:rRNA from 1 species
UACGGAGGGGGCUAGCGGUGUUCGGAAUUACUGGGCGUAAAGCGCGCGUAGGCGGAGAUCCAAGUCGGGGGUGAAAUCCCGGGGCUCAACCCCGGAACUGCCUCCGAUACUGGUUCUCUGGAGGACGGGAGAGGCGAGUGGAAUGCCGAGUGUAGAGGUGAAAUUCGUAGAUAUUCGGCGGAACACCCGUGGCGAAGGCGGCUCGCUGGUCCGUUUCUGACGCUGAGGCGCGAAAGCGUGGGGAGCAAACAGG